rnacentral:tRNA from 1 species
UUGGGAUUGUUUCUCAGUGGUACAGUGCUUGCUUAGCAUGUGUGAGGUCCUGGGUCCAAUCCCCAGGACCCAAA